rnacentral:tRNA from 1 species
ACCUGGGUGGCUCAGUUGGUUAAGCAUCUGACUUUGGCUCAGGUCAUGAUCUCACGGUUGGUGGGUUCGAGUCCCACGUUGGGCU